rnacentral:rRNA from 1 species
AUUGAACGCUGGCGGCAUGCUUUACACAUGCAAGUCGAACGGCAGCGCGGGGGCAACCCUGGCGGCGAGUGGCGAACGGGUGAGUAAUGCAUCGGAACGUAUCCUGUAAUGGGGGAUAACGUAGCGAAAGUUACGCUAAUACCGCAUACGCUCGAGAGAGGAAAGUGGGGGAUCGCAAGACCUCACGUUAUAGGAGCGGCCGAUGUCCGAUUAGCUAGUUGGUGGGGUAAAGGCCUACCAAGGCGACGAUCGGUAGCUGGUCUGAGAGGAUGAUCAGCCACACUGGGACUGAGACACGGCCCAGACUCCUACGGGAGGCAGCAGUGGGGAAUUUUGGACAAUGGGCGAAAGCCUGAUCCAGCCAUGCCGCGUGCGGGAAGAAGGCCUCGGUUGUAACCG